rnacentral:rRNA from 1 species
AUUGAACGCUGGCGGCAGGCUUAACCCAUGCAAGUCGAACGAGUGGCGGCCGGGUGAGUAAUGCUUGGGAAUCUGCCUUAUGGAGGGGGAUACCUACGGGAAACGGUAGCUAAUACCGCUUACCAUCGGAGUGGCCCAGGUGGGAUUAGGUAGUUGGUGGGGUAAUGGCUCCCCAAGCCGACGAUCCCUAGCUGGUCUGAGAGGAUGACCAGCCACACUGGGACUGAGACACGGCCCAGACUCCUACGGGAGGCAGCAGUGGGGAAUAUUGCGCAAUGGGCGCAACCCUGACGCAGCCAUGCCGCGUGAAUGAAGAAGGCCUUCGGGUUGUAAAGUUCUUUCGGUAGCGAGGCGUUAACUACAGAAGAAGCACCGGCUAACUCCGUGCCAGCAGCCGCGGUAAUAC